UACUUAAACCGCAGUUAUGUUUAUUUAUUUAUUAUUUUCACUUAGUGUCUAAACUCAUUUUCACUCAACCCUACUCCCCGGUUAUUCACGAGCCUUUGUUCACGUUUUUCUCCUUCAGCAUCUCUGUACUCAUUUUCCCCAACCCUAUUCCUUCAGUUUCUCUGGACUUCAAACAAGAUGUGGAGUUGUCGCGCAAGGAGCAUGGUAAGGGAAGAGGUUUUUCUCUCAUCUGUUUCAGGUUCGGGUUCGUUUUUGGUAGAGAGGAGAGGCAAGUUUCGGCGGCCAGACGCGACCUCCAUCCUCACGGCACGGUGGGUACCACAGCAGUGACAUCUUCGCGGCGCGCGGGGGUCUGCGAUUUUAUGGCGACGAGCUUCGCGUUUCUGAUAGGGUAGCUUUGGCAAAACAGAGAGUUGAUGAAUAUAUUUACUCUCAGUUGAUACAACAGAUUGGCACCCAACAGUCAGCUAUUACAGAAGGUUACCUGAUGAUUGCCGGGAAAGAAGGGGAUUUGGCUUAAAUUGUCUUUAGAGAAGUCUGACCUAGUUCCAAUAGCUAUUAAGGCAAAGAAGUGGAACACAUUUGCUGGAAACUUACAAGAUUGCUCCUGACUACAGGUAUUUGAAAAAGGAAGCAUAUCAAAGGAUGGAUAAAAUGAAGAAGUACCAAAGGAUGGAUAAAAUGAAGAAGUACAAAACUAUAAUUAUUAUUCAUAACAUUUAAUUUUAAUUUUUAAGAAACAUUAAUUGUAUUUCUAAUGUUUACAAUUUAUAUAAUAAUAUUUUGGUUUAUAUUUAA